rnacentral:rRNA from 1 species
GGUUUCCGUAGGUGAACCUGCGGAAGGAUCAUUCGC